rnacentral:tmRNA from 1 species
GGGGGCGUAAUGGUUUCGACGGGGAGCACGAGUUUAAGUAAGCGAGUAGCAAGGCGGAACUGCUUUAAAAGUCGCAUUUUUCAAUUAAAUGGAAAAACAAAUAAUAGCGAAAGCAACGUAAUUCAUGCUAAUUUUGGAGGAGUUGCCGUAGCUGCUUAAUCAGCCUUAAUAAUUAGGCUACAUCUUAUUUUAGAUUACCGCGACUAACUUAAGGUGACUAACUAGCGGUGAACGUGAAUCAUUGAAUUUCUCGACUUUGAUCAUGAACUAGAGGAUACUGUAUUUUUGAGGUUUCCGUUGGACUCUUAAUACAGGAAAUUUAAUCAUCGGAUACACUCGUAGAAAGCUUAGGUAAAUGCUUUUCGGACAGGGGUUCGA